rnacentral:rRNA from 1 species
ANGGCGCUGCUAAUACUGCAAGUCGAGCGAACAGAUAAGGAGCUUGCUCCNUUGACGUUAGCGGCGGACGGGUGAGUAACACGUGGGUAACCUACCUAUAAGACUGGAAUAACUCCGGGAAACCGGGGCUAAUGCCGGAUAACAUGUAGAACCGCAUGGUUCUAAAGUGAAAGAUGGUUUUGCUAUCACUUAUAGAUGGACCCGCGCCGUAUUAGCUAGUUGGUAAGGUAAUGGCUUACCAAGGCAACGAUACGUAGCCGACCUGAGAGGGUGAUCGGCCACACUGGAACUGAGACACAGUCCAGACUCCUACGGGAGGCAGCAGUAGGGAAUCUUCCGCAAUGGGCGAAAGCCUGACGGAGCAACGCCGCGUGAGUGAUGAAGGGUUUCGGCUCGUAAAACUCUGUUAUUAGGGAAGAACAAACGUGUAAGUAACUGUGCACGUCUUGACGGUACCUAAUCAGAAAGCCACGGCUAACUACGUGCCAGCAGCCGCGGUAAUACGUAGGUGGCAAGCGUUAUCCGGAAUUAUUGGGCGUAAAGCGCGCGUACGCGGUUUCUUAAGUCUGAUGUGAAAGCCCACGGCUCAACCGUGGAGGGUCAUUGGAAACUGGGAGACUUGAGUGCAGAAGAGGAAAGUGGAAUUCCAUGUGUAGCGGUGAAAUGCGCAGAGAUAUGGAGGAACACCAGUGGCGAAUGCGACUUUCUGGUCUGUAACUGACGCUGAUGUGCGAAAGCGUGGGGAUCAAACAGGAUUAGAUACCCUGGUAGUCCACGCCGUAAACGAUGAGUGCUAAGUGUUAGGGGGUUUCCGCCCCUUAGUGCUGCAGCUAACGCAUUAAGCACUCCGCCUGGGGAGUACGACCGCAAGGUUGAAACUCAAAGGAAUUGACGGGGACCCGCACAAGCGGUGGAGCAUGUGGUUUAAUUCGAAGCAACUCGAAGAACCUUACCAAAUCUUGACAUCUUUUGACCACUCUACAGAUAGAGUUUUCCCUUCGGGGGACAAAGGGACAGGUGGGCAUGUUUGUCUUCAUCUCGUGUCAGAGAAUGU